GACAGCAUCAUAUCUAACUAUCUGUUAUGGCUGCUUUAAUGAGGAAAAUACCUGCCAUCAUUUUAAAGGCAUCCUGUAUACUUCACAAAUACAGCUUGCUGUAGCAUUCUCAUUUAGACUGUGAACAUCAAAGGAAAUUGAUGUCAGGUGUGAACAGAAGCUGUUGAAUAUAUCUGUUGAGGAAGCUGAGUGGUAUGUCUGGAUGGGAAAGAUGAAGGGCAGCUUAAAACAUUAACAAAACUACAGAGCUUUCAGUGAAGAUUCUUUUUUAUUUGGUUCUUCAUUUAGAAGGAUUUUCAUGCUUUUGCUGUCUGUUUCAAACUGGAGAAACAGGACCUGUACACAGUUUGGAAAGGAGCAGUAGAGCCACCAAUACAGCAGUCAACAAUGCCUUCUAUUUGGGAUGCAAGGCAAGACCAACAUACCUUCACUCAGUGGCAUUAGCCAGUACUGGUCAGAUAAAGCUGUCAUAAAGGUAGAAGACAUUUUUGCAACUAGAGGACAAAUACGCUUAGAUUAUAGUGCAAGGGGUGUCAAGAUUUUGUCUGGCAAAAGAGGCCCCUGUACCUGCUUAAUCUGAAAAAAUGAAUUUUCAAAAAUUAAAUUUGAGGAACUUUUUUUCAGGUGUUUUGUUUGUUUGUUUGUUUGGG